GAAAUGAUUUUGUGAAAAAAAAUUGGAUCUUUGACUGAUUUGGGGUUUUGAGAUUCAGUUGAUUUCUGAGGUGCUCACUCAGCUAAUAGUUAUUGUUUAAGAAACUCAAUAAUAUUGGCAGCAAGGAGAAUGGUGACUUUCAGGAUGAUAACUAUUGGCUGAGUGAGCAUCACUGAAAUCGACAUGAUUCUGAGAGGAAAAUGACUGAUUGAAAGAUGUAUUUAUUAAAAAAAUUGUUUU